rnacentral:pre_miRNA from 1 species
ACACAAAUUACCCCUGGAAUACUGUUAAAACGCAGAUUCUGACUCAGCAGAUGUGAAGGAAGGCCUGAGAUUUUGCAUUUCUAGUAGGCUUCCAAGUGAUGCCAAU